GAUGAACGCUGGCGGCGUGCCUAAUACAUGCAAGUCGAGCGAACAGACGAGGAGCUUGCUCCUCUGACGUUAGCGGCGGACGGGUGAGUAACACGUGGAUAACCUACCUAUAAGACUGGGAUAACUUCGGGAAACCGGAGCUAAUACCGGAUAAUAUAUUGAACCGCAUGGUUCAAUAGUGAAAGACGGUUUUGCUGUCACUUAUAGAUGGAUCCGCGCCGCACUAGCUAGUUGGUAAGGUAACGGCUUACCAAGGCAACGAUGCGUAGCCGACCUGAGAGGGUGAUCGGCCACACUGGAACUGAGACACGGUCCAGACUCCUACGGGAGGCAGCAGUAGGGAAUCUUCCGCAAUGGGCGAAAGCUUGACGGAGCAACGCCGCGUGAGUGAUGAAGGUCUUCGGAUCGUAAAACUCUGUUAUUAGGGAAGAACAAAUGUGUAAGUAACUAUGCACGUCUUGACGGUACCUAAUCAGAAAGCCACGGCUAACUACGUG
rnacentral:rRNA from 1 species